GGGCUCUGACCUGAGACCUCUGGGUUCUGAGCUGUGAUGUUGCUCUCGAGCUGGGAUCUCCGGGGUCUUGGUUCAGGGCCG
rfam:Pan troglodytes isolate Yerkes chimp pedigree #C0471 (Clint) chromosome 19, whole genome shotgun sequence.